rnacentral:lncRNA from 1 species
AUGCCACCAUCUGUGAGAAGGCUUCAGGUAUUUGGUAGACACAAUUUUUACUUCUGUUCUCAUCCCUGGGCCUCCUGGCACAGAUGUUACCUUACCAUGGCUGAUGCAAAUAUGGGAGAUGGUGAGUUGCUUUCUACCCUUGUAUGUAGAGCUCCUUUAUGUAAAUUCGUGAGGACUAUGCCUAAUGUAAGUGUGAUCAAAUUCAAAGCAAAGCAGUUUCAAUCCAGAGUUUUGCUGAGCUCUGAAAUUAAUCUUUUUGUAAAGCAGUGCAAGAGGAAAGAAAGGGGUCUGAAGAGUCGAAUGGAGGCAGGUGAGGGUUUACCUAGAGGGUUAUGGCAGCCUAACCCAGUAAAUGUCAAUAGACACAGUGCAAUGGAAAGCUGUAGACAUACUGGGGAAAAGAAGGAAGUAGCCAAUGGACAGAUGCCUAUGAAUUAGUGAAGAACAUCCAGCACAGUCUGAGAAGUUCAGGCACUGCAGGAGAAGCUCACAAUCUUCAGUCCGAAAUCUGACCAACCUUCUCUGCACCUUUGGGCAUUUAAACAUUCAACAUCCACUUCCACUGAGGGGAAAAAAGCAACGGUAGUAAUAUAACGCUUCAUUUCACAGACACAUUUUAAAGGUUUAACCUUUGUAAGACAUUUUGAAGAUGAAAAGCACAGCAGAACUCAUUAUUUUGCUUAACUAAAUAUCUCUUUGCCUAGCUGAACUCUAAAAUCUUUUGAUGUUAGUUCAUCACAAAGAUGCGCCGUGAGAGAAGAUUUUUAUUACUUUUGUGUUGGCCUAUGGUCAUUUCAUGCCACUACAUGCUUGUUUUUAUUUCUGUUUUUGAUAUUUGUAGCUUUGCAAAGAACUUGCUUUUCCAAUAGUGCAUAAAUGUAGUUUCUUAAUAUCAACAAAGAUGGCAAAAUCCCCAAAUCUUUGCUUUCCAUAACAAUGCAAAUGCAAUAGCCUAGUGACAAUACUUCGUAAAGCACCUAAAACUGACUUACAUACAACAAUAUUUAAAAAUAGAAGGGUAAGAUUUCCUGUAAUUGUGCCAAGAGCAAAAUUGUCAUUCAGUAUUGAGAUGUUUGGAUAAUUAAGUAACAAGAGACAAUCUGAAAUCUUCAGCAAUCAGUUGUCUGAACAAAUGCACAUUAAGUGGGAUUGCUAGUAAGCAUACCUGAAAAUUGUGUAUGUUCAGAGGUAAUAAAGAAAUGCAUAAUCAUUUGACA